rnacentral:rRNA from 1 species
CACGUAGGCGGACUAUUAAGUCAGGGGUGAAAUCCCGGGGCUCAACCCCGGAACUGCCUUUGAUACUGCUAGUCUCGAGUCCGGAAGAGGUGAGUGGAAUUCCGAGUGUAGAGGUGAAAUUCGUAGAUAUUCGGAGGAACACCAGUGGCGAAGGCGGCUCACUGGUCCGGUACUGACGCUGAGGUGCGAAAGCGUGGGGAGCAAACA